rnacentral:rRNA from 1 species
AACGAACGCUGGCGGCGUGCCUAACACAUGCAAGUCGAACGAGAAAGUUUCCUUCGGGAAACCAGUAAAGUGGCGCAAGGGUGAGUAACACGUGAAUAAUCUGCCUAUGAAUUCGGGAUAACUUGACGAAAGUUGCGCUAAUACCGAAUAAGACCACGUCUCUUAUGUGAUGUGGCCAAAGGAGUCUCAAACUCCGUUUAUAGAUGAGUUCGCGGACCAUUAGCUUGUUGGCGGGAUAAUAGCCCACCAAGG